ensembl:processed_transcript 1810021B22Rik RIKEN cDNA 1810021B22 gene
CUGGGAGAGACCAGGCCCCCCUUACAUCUUAGGCUUUGCUUUGGAGGAAAAAAAAAAAAAAAAAAAAGCAUGGCCAGCUUGAGUUCUGCUUUCUAACAGCCAUUCCCCAGCCUGCGUUGCUCAAGCAGGUUCUGUGGCGCCACAGGAUGAGUGGGUGACGUAUCAGAGUCGGCAGAUGGAGUGCACCUUGGUUUAGCAGAGCAGCUGCUGGAGGGGCUUUUUGAGUCUCACAGGUUCACUUGUCCCGGCUUGCAGGAAUGUAGCCCCAUCGGGCCAGGUUCGUUUCACUGAGCCCUGGGUCUGAGGGCGAAGCCCUGCUGUGGACCUUCUGAUGAACAUAAAUGCAUCCUGACCACAACCAGCCAAGAGCCCUCCCUGGAUCCUGCCAGCUCUGUGGUCCCUGAUGAAGAUGUAGCUCUCAGCCCUGAUGAUGCAGCUCCCGUGCCCUGCCUGCCUGCCUGCCGCUCAACUCCCUAUCAUACUGUUCAUAGACUUACCCUCUGAAACUACAGCCAAUCCUCCAAUUAAAUGUUUUCUUCUUUAA